rnacentral:rRNA from 1 species
UCAGUCGACUCCUACGGGGGAGGCAGCAGUGGGGGAAUAUUGCACAAUGGGGGGAAACCCUGAUGCAGCCAUGCCGCGUGUGUGAAGAAGGCCUUCGGGUUGUAAAGCACUUUCAGUAGGGAGGAAGGUAGUGUAGUUAACACCUGCAUUAUUUGACGUUACCUACAGAAGAAAGCACCGGCUAACUCCGUGCCAGCAGCCGCGGUAAUACGGAGGGUGCGAGCGUUAAUCGGAAUUACUGGGCGUAAAACGCAUGCAGGCGGCCUGUUAAGUCAGAUGUGAAAGCCCGGGGCUUAACCUCGGAAUUGCAUUUGAAACUGGCAGGCUAGAGUCUUGUAGAGGGGGGUAGGAAUUUCAGGUGUAGCGGUGAAAUGCGUAGAGAUCUGAAGGAAUACCAGUGGCGAAGGCGGCCCCCUGGACAAAGACUGACGCUCAGAUGCGAAAGCGUGGGGAGCAAACAGGAUUAGAUACCCUGGUAG